GACGAACGCUGGCGGCGUGCUUAACACAUGCAAGUCGCACGGGACUGGGGGCAACUCCAGUUCAGUGGCGGACGGGUGCGUAACACGUAAGCAACAUGUCCAAGGGUGGGGGAGUAGCCGGCCCAACGGCCGGGUAAGUACCGCAUGCAGUCAUCGGUGGCAUUAUCGGUUGACGAAAGCCGGGGCAACCUGGCGCCCAUGGAGUGGCUUGCGGCCUAUCAGCUAGUUGGUGAGGUAACGGCUCACCAAGGCUACGACGGUAGCUGGUCUGAGAGGAUGACCAGCCACAUUGGGACUGAGACACGGCCCAGACUCCUACGGGA
rnacentral:rRNA from 1 species